rnacentral:rRNA from 1 species
AGUGAACGCUGGCGGUAUGCCUAACACAUGCAAGUCGAACGGCAGCACAGUAAGAGCUUGCUCUUACGGGUGGCGAGUGGCGGACGGUUGAGGAAUACAUCGGAAUCUACUUUUUCGUGGGGGAUAACGUAGGGUAACUUACGCUAAUACCGCAUACGACCUACGGGUGAAAGCAGGGGAUCUUCGGACCUUUCGCGAUUGUAUGAGCCGAUGUCGGAUUAGCUAGUUGGCGGGGUAAAGGCCCACCAAGGCGACGAUCCGUAGCUGGUCUGAGAGGAUGAACAGACACACUGGAACUGAGACACGGUCCAGACUCCUACGGGAGGCAGCAGUGGGGAAUAUUGGACAAUGGGGGCAAGCCUGAUCCAGCCAUACCGCGUGAGUGAAGAAGGCCUUCGGGUUGUAAAGCCCUUUUGUUGGGAAAGAAAAGAAGCAGGUUAAUACCCCGCGGUACUGACGGUACCCAAAGAAUAAGCACCGGCUAACUUCGUG